UACUACGUAGAUUAUCUGAAAGGGUUUUCGCUACAUGAUGUGAAUUUAAAGAUCUGCCCCAGCUCUAUCACCGUGGUUACACUUUCUGUCUGUCUCCAUAUGGGCUGGUGGGGCCAUUGUUCCCCGGGCCACUCUACAACACCAGGGCCAGGUUGUGGUCAGCUAAAAAUGGGCUUCUGGGGUGAAAGGGUGCAGGACGGAGGAGGGGUAGGAAGUAGGAGGAGGAAAGAGGGGAAGCAGGAGGAUAAAGAGGGAGCUCAGUUGGUAUAGCAUGGCGCUUGCAACACCAGCAUAGUGGAUUUGAUUUCCGGGACCACCUACAGUGUCGCAAACGCCUAUGAUUCCCCUCCUGGAUUAAAUGGAACAUGGGGACGAGCACCAUGGAAGAAAAUGCUGCUAUUGAGGGGCGUCAUGCGCACAAGAGACUUUUACUCCUGUUGUUGCUCGUGGUUUCUUCUAAGGUACCCAACGUCCAGACGAGAUCAAUCGACUUUGUGUGAGACACACACGACUGGAGAAACAUGAACAACAUGAAGGACCUGGAAGUUGCCAUGCUACAACAGAAGCAUGCUGAGGUGAGAGGGGCUCUGGGGGUAUUGUUGGACAGUGUGGGGAGAAUGAGGACACACACCAAACUCAGCUGUCAGUUAUCUUUGCUGGAGAGACUAGAGCAUGGAAUCACAAACUACCUGCACAUAGUCACCAACCUGGACAUCACGGAUGACUUGACAGACUCAGAUCCAGACCCAGGCUGUCCCAGCCAGCAGAGCCAGAGUCUGAACCAAGUGCCGCAGCUGUAUGGCAGGGUGCUCCGGGGGAAGCUAGAGUGGCUCUCAAUGGACCUCAGAGACAGCUGCUUGGGACAGAGAUGAUAACCUGGGAUUUCUUCUCUCUCCCUUAUCAAUGCUGAACUGGAUGAAGAAUCUAGGGUGACCAGAAGACUGCACUAGCACUUCCUGGUGGAAGCUGUCUGUACAACAUGGCAGUGUUUUGCUGCCACCUGGAUUUAUUGAUGGAGUUACAGAGCCCUCUUCUGGUGAUAUACAGCAUGGCAUGGUGUGGCACUCGUUGAGGAAAUAGGUGGGAUCUGAGUAGGCUACAAAUGGCUGCUAUCAGAAGCAGGCACUGCCAGAGUCCAAUACCCAGACCAAAGAGACUGGACCUAUGCUCUUAUUAGAUAUGACAAUUCUAAAGACUGUUGGCCCCACUUUAAAGUGCUACUGUGCCAACACUUGCUACAUUAUUUUCUCAAAUGGGAAUAUCCACAGAGUAAAGGUAGCCAUACUAUGCAUGGAUUUCCACAGCCAUGUCAGGAGGGAAAGAAACAUCCAUGGUGGAAAUAUAGUUGGUUAAAAUCGAUUACUGCACUGGUUGGAAGAGGAAUAUUCAUCAAAGCCAUGCUUUUGAAGAAUGACUGGUUUGGAAAAAGUUGUGCCUAAAAACAAUCAAAAUAUCACGAGGGAGAAAGUGUAUUCUAUAUGUAGCCUCUCUCUUUGGUAAUAUGAUGUAUAUGAUUGAUAUUAAAGUGCCCAUGUCAACAAACACUGAUAUUUUAUAUUGGAACAAUAUUUGCUCAUAUUUCUGUAUUUGCUUAAAAUUUUAAAUGUGCACAAUAUGGUCUAUAUUAUGAAGUUUUCUAACAAAAUGAAAUCAUUGAUAAAGUGCAUUCCAUUAAAGGCCCAGUGCAGUAAUCAUUCA